ACUAAGAAAGAAUCCUCCUAGAUAACUACAAUCUUCAGCUGUGACUGUGCAUCCGUGGUGAGCAGGGAUUUUGAAUCAAGACUGCGUUAGGAAGAGGCUCAAGGGGGCAGACAGUGCCACCUCCAGAGAAGCCACUGCUCCUACUCCUGCCUCUCCUGCUACUGCCGCCACCGUCCUCUGCUCCUGCAGCCCCCACUGGGCGCCCGAUUCCUUCUUGGAGUGCGGAGGUCCUGUUCCUUCAGGAACGACAGACAGCUUUUCUCCCCGUCUCCUCGUUUGCUCAGCCGGCAGGUGCAGGACUGGAGAUCUGAGGUGGUCCUGCGUCUCGAGGAGCCGGGCGCCCGACUGUGAGAAGGAGGAGGCAAGCUAUGGGGAGAGGGGGCGACAGGAAUGCCAGGCUCAUGAGGCCGGCGGCCGCGGCCCAGCUCUGUUCAGCUUCAAAGUUGACUGGACAAAAUAACUAAAUUGUAAGUUCUCUCCGAAUUGUCACGGGUUGGAUAAUUUACUGUCUUUGUCUGAAACCUGUAACCUGCCUUGUUUUCCCGCCUCAAACGGCACUUAAGCAAGCCUGCUUUCUUUGCAGGGGUCGGCAGCCAUUUUGGGCAUGAGCCUGCUGUUGGCUCAGGUGCCUGAAUUAAAUAAAGUUCUCUUUGGUCUCCAAAGGUCUCUUCGUGUUCCUUGGCUGGAGUUUUACUACAACAGUACCAGAUGUCGCCACCAUCCCCAUCCUUGGCCCCCUAGCCGUCAUUCAUACAUCCUGUGUUCAACAA
rnacentral:lncRNA from 1 species